rnacentral:rRNA from 1 species
CACAUGCAGUCGAACGGUGAAGGCGGAGCUUGCUCUGCUGGAUCAGUGGCGAACGGGUGAGUAACACGUGAGCAAUCUGCCCCUGACUCUGGGAUAAGCGCUGGAAACGGCGUCUAAUACUGGAUACGAGCUGCGAAGGCAUCUUCAGCAGCUGGAAAGAAUUUCGGUCAGGGAUGAGCUCGCGGCCUAUCAGCUUGUUGGUGAGGUAACGGCUCACCAAGGCGUCGACGGGUAGCCGGCCUGAGAGGGUGACCGGCCACACUGGGACUGAGACACGGCCCAGACUCCUACGGGAGGCAGCAGUGGGGAAUAUUGCACAAUGGGCGAAAGCCUGAUGCAGCAACGCCGCGUGAGGGACGACGGCCUUCGGGUUGUAAACCUCUUUUAGCAGGGAAGAAGCGAAAGUGACGGUACCUGCAGAAAAAGCGCCGGCUAACUACGUGCCAGCAGCCGCGGUAAUACGUAGGGCGCAAGCGUUAUCCGGAAUUAUUGGGCGUAAAGAGCUCGUAGGCGGUUUGUCGCGUCUGCUGUGAAACCCCGAGGCUCAACCUCGGGCCUGCAGUGGGUACGGGCAGACUAGAGUGCGGUAGAGGAGAUUGGAAUUCCUGGUGUAGCGGUGGAAUGCGCAGAUAUCAGGAGGAACACCGAUGGCGAAGGCAGAUCUCUGGGCCGUAACUGACGCUGAGGAGCGAAAGGGUGGGGAGCAAACAGGCUUAGAUACCCUGGUAGUCCACCCCGUAAACGUUGGGAACUAGUUGUGGGGUCCAUUCCACGGAUUCCGUGACGCAGCUAACGCAUUAAGUUCCCCGCCUGGGGAGUACGGCCGNCAGGCUAA